UACGGAGGGUGCAAGCGUUAAUCGGAAUUACUGGGCGUAAAGCGUGCGCAGGCGGUUUGUUAAGUCUGUUGUGAAAUCCCCGAGCUCAACUUGGGAAUUGCAAUGGAUACUGGCAGGCUGGAGUAUGGUAGAGGAAGGUGGAAUUCCAGGUGUAGCGGUGAAAUGCGUAGAUAUCAGGAGGAACACCGGUGGCGAAGGCGGGUCUCUGGGCCGAUACUGACGCUGAGGAGCGAAAGCGUGGGGAGCGAACAGG
rnacentral:rRNA from 1 species